AGGAAUCUCCUCAAGUCCUGCCGAACGCUAACAAUACUCUUUACAUAACUUGUAACAGUUUAUCGUGCUAAAUAUCUUCGCCACCGGCAAUCCUUCCGGAAUAACAAUCAGUGUUAGCCGUCACCGUCGCCAAUUCUUCAAUAGUAUGACCGCUCAGAACUUUUCAAUGUGCGGUUGUUGGAGCCAUGGGAGCGCUUCAACAUCAUGGGCAUCAAGGGACAGUCUCUUCGACCGACUGAAGUUGGCACGCUAACGAUUCGGUCUAACAUCAACGAUAAACAGGCCAUCACUUUCAAGAAGGUCUACGUCGACGAGG
rnacentral:lncRNA from 1 species